AUAACUAAUGUGAAUUGCAGAAUUCAGUGAAUCAUCGAGUCUUUGAACGCACCUUGCGCCCUCUGGUAUUCCGGAGGGCAUGCCUGUUUGAGUGUCAG
rnacentral:rRNA from 1 species